AUACGUAGGUGGCUAGCGUUAUCCGGAAUUACUGGGUGUAAAGGGCGCGCAGGCGGGAAACAAGUUGGGAGUGAAAUCCGGGGGCUCAACCCCCGAACUGCUUUCAAAACUGUUUUCUUGAGUGAUGGAGAGGCAGGCGGAAUUCCCAGUGUAGCGGUGAAAUGCGUAGAUAUUGGGAGGAACACCAGUGGCGAAGGCGGCCUGCUGGACAUUAACUGACGCUGAGGCGCGAAAGCGUGGGGAGC
rnacentral:rRNA from 1 species